AGUUUGAAUCCUGGCUCAGGACGAACGCUGGCGGCGUGCCUAAUACAUGCAAGUCGAACGAACUCUGGUAUUGAUUGGUGCUUGCAUCAUGAUUUACAUUUGAGUGAGUGGCGAACUGGUGAGUAACACGUGGGAAACCUGCCCAGAAGCGGGGGAUAACACCUGGAAACAGAUGCUAAUACCGCAUAACAACUUGGACCGCAUGGUCCGAGCUUGAAAGAUGGCUUCGGCUAUCACUUUUGGAUGGUCCCGCGGCGUAUUAGCUAGAUGGUGGGGUAACGGCUCACCAUGGCAAUGAUACGUAGCCGACCUGAGAGGGUAAUCGGCCACAUUGGGACUGAGACACGGCCCAAACUCCUACGGGAGGCAGCAGUAGGGAAUCUUCCACAAUGGACGAAAGUCUGAUGGAGCAACGCCGCGUGAGUGAAGAAGGGUUUCGGCUCGUAAAACUCUGUUGUUAAAGAAGAACAUAUCUGAGAGUAACUGUUCAGGUAUUGACGGUAUUUAACCAGAAAGCCACGGCUAACUACGUGCCAGCAGCCGCGGUAAUACGUAGGUGGCAAGCGUUGUCCGGAUUUAUUGGGCGUAAAGCGAGCGCAGGCGGUUUUUUAAGUCUGAUGUGAAAGCCUUCGGCUCAACCGAAGAAGUGCAUCGGAAACUGGGAAACUUGAGUGCAGAAGAGGACAGUGGAACUCCAUGUGUAGCGGUGAAAUGCGUAGAUAUAUGGAAGAACACCAGUGGCGAAGGCGGCUGUCUGGUCUGUAACUGACGCUGA
rnacentral:rRNA from 1 species